rnacentral:rRNA from 1 species
UACGUAGGGUGCGAGCGUUGUCCGGAAUUAUUGGGCGUAAAGAGCUUGUAGGCGGUUUGUCGCGUCUGCUGUGAAAAUCCGGGGCUCAACCCCGGACUUGCAGUGGGUACGGGCAGACUAGAGUGUGGUAGGGGAGACUGGAAUUCCUGGUGUAGCGGUGAAAUGCGCAGAUAUCAGGAGGAACACCCGUAGCGAAGGCGGCACUCUGGGCCGAUUCUGACACUGAGGAGCGAAAGCGUGGGGAGCGAACAGG